CCAGGACUGGUAAAUGCUUUUACCUUCUUUACAAAUCCAGUUUUCUUACCUUUUGACCUGGAUCUCUGUCGGUUAACUACUCUGUCACACUGCUAUUAGGAGAACUUAAUAAUGGCCAACAGUAAUUGCUUUUACCUUCUUUACAAAUCCAGUUUUCUUACCUUUUGACCUGGAUCUCUAUCGGUUAACUACUCUGUCACAUUGCUAUUAGGAGAACUUAAUAAUGGCCAACAUGCAUGAGCUAUUUGCAAGUCUUGUCUAUGUUGCUGCAAAUCCUUGUCACUAUGAUACUUCCUGGGCACUUUUAUUGGUCCUGUAGUGGUCUGCGUGCUUAUUGCCUUGGGAUGCUUUCAUAGUUAUUUAAUGUAAGAGUUAGCAUAUGCUAGUUGUGUUUAUAGUGGUGGGUAAUUGUUGAGUUGUAGUAUGGUUAUUUUCUGGUUGUCAUCAGUUCAGGGAUAAGGAUGAACUCCUCUUGUGCUCAUCCAUGUUUGUGAUGCGCACUGGCUGACUAGAAGAUCCAAUAUUUUGCGUGUAUUUGAAAUAUUUCCUUAUGCCAAUGGAUACUUUCCGGUGACAUUUCUUAGCAAUCCCCUCUUUCUCAAACUAGACAUAGUUCUAACUGAUAAUUAGCCACAACCAUUCAAUAUGCAUUUGUUACGAGCGUAAGAGGAUUUCUUCAUCAUUAGGACAUUUCUGGGGUGAGAGAACUUGGAAAAGCAUUUUUCUUUAUGCUGGAUUCCUACCAGAAGGACAGGCAUAAUGAUAUGGGGGAUUUUGAGUUAUUGAACAAUAGCUUAGUUAAUGGAUGUCAUGCUCCAGUGGUCAAAAUCGUUGCUUCCAAAAGCU
rnacentral:lncRNA from 1 species